ACUUUAUUGAGAGUUUGAUCUUGGCUCAGGACGAACGCUGGCGGCGUGCCUAAUACAUGCAAGUCGAGCGCGGGAAGCUUGUCGGAUCUCUUCGGAGUGAAGCGAGUGGAACGAGCGGCGGACGGGUGAGUAACACGUGGGCAACCUACCUAUAAGACUGGGAUAACUCCGGGAAACCGGGGCUAAUACCGGAUAACACUUUUCUUCACAUGAAGGGAAGU
rnacentral:rRNA from 1 species